rnacentral:rRNA from 1 species
GACGAACCGUGCGAACGUUAUUCGGAAUCACUGGGCUUAAAGCGCGUGUAGGCGGGCCGGCACGUCGGUGCCUGAAAGCCCCCGGCUCAACCGGGGAACUGGGGCCGAUACGGCCGGCCUGGAGGGGCGUAGGGGGACCUGGAACUUCCGGUGGAGCGGUGAAAUGCGUUGAGAUCGGAAGGAACGCCCGUGGCGAAAGCGAGGUCCUGGACGCCUGCUGACGCUGAGACGCGAAAGCCAGGGUAGCGAACGGG